GUGACUGAUUGGCUGGCUGGAAUCCUGAACAAGAGUGCUUCUGUUGGGAACUAAGGAUAUACUGCAAAAUGUUGAUGUACUGUAGUUCCACUUAUUCCUUCAAACAGAAGACUCAGAUGGUUGAGAGGCUGAAUCUGUCACUGAAACAGCGCCAUGGAGAACCAAAAAGGAGGUGUUUGCAAAUUGAGGUGAAUUCUGAGGUGCCAGGAAGGCUGAGGAGCUUCAGAAGGAGAGACAAGAGUGUUGACUAAUUAAGUGUGAGAAUGUCUCCAUUUUCAGUGAUAUGUGGUUACACUGGUGCUAAGGGUCAGACAGGGCCUGACAUGGGAGAUCUUUAAUCAGCAUGACUGCUAAUGAAGCUCAAAGAACUGAAAGAAAGGGUGUUUAAAAUGUUCCUUUUCACCCCACCAUCUCCUGAGUGAAAUUACUCUUCCAGAUACAGCUAUGUCUUCUACUGUAGAAUGAAUGGUAGCUGAUUGCGAAGAUGGUGUCUUUUCCUCCUGUCCGAUACUACUUACCCCAGGCCAGAA